UGUUUGUUUCCCACUCUUCAUUUAGAAUAUUGCUGGUUUUUUACAUUUUUAAUUUAGACUUUUUUUUUUUUAAGAGACAGGACUGCAGAGUGGGAAGAACAUAGACUUUGGAAUCAGACAGUUCUGGAUUUGAACCCAGGCUCAAACAUCUAUCUAACCUAUUGCAAAUAAUGUUACCUGGGCCACCAUGCCCUCAUAUUUCCUACCUAUGUCAGACAUUACUAAUUUAUUACAAUAUUGUUUCUUACUGAGCUGACAAUCCUUUUCAUGGUUGCUCAAGACAAGGGAUUUACAGUCAGUGGGGGUUGUGCCAGGAGGUAGAACCUAUCUGCAAUCUCUUUCCUGUAGGCCAAGAUUUACAGACUAGCUAUCCAAGCCAUUUCUUCAGUAGCCCACUCAAACCCGUCUCUGUUUCCUUUUAGUCUCUUCUUCACCUUGUGACAAACAGCUUUUGGGAAAAGUUACCUGUGGUGAUCCUGAACUUGCACCUUUAUGAGACUCAGAAGGAAGAAAAGUACAAACCCAUUAGCUGUUACCCUGUUCCUUAUAAGAAGGACCUGCCUUUUGGCAUUGUAGAGCUCAUGGAGGAAAGGAGAGAGGAUCUUUACCAAAUGUAUUUAAAGUAAUGUCUCACUGGCCGUUGGAAUUCAGAGCCUUCUUUACUUAUUACAAUGUCAGCUGCAACAAGGAAGCAGGUAAAUAGAAAAACAGUGCUAAAUCAUUCCUGGAUGAGAUCCAGAUGCCUGCCUGCUUGCUAGAGUUCUUCCCAUAGAGUUCCAGAUCCGUGUGGAGCUAGGGAGAGAUUCAGAAAGACUGUAGUCGGCUGAGAUAUCCUCUGGAUUCUGAUGCUGCGUUCUGAACGGCAGCUCAGCAGAGUUGACAAGGAACUCAUUAUGGUGACCAGCCUGGCCAACAGGUGCCCAUACAGUGUGGUUAUCCACAGUGCCUGGUACAGGAUCUCCUCAAAGAACCCAGUGUUCUCUG
rnacentral:lncRNA from 1 species